ACUCCUACGGGAGGCAGCAGUGGGGAAUUUUGGACAAUGGGCGAAAGCCUGAUCCAGCAAUGCCGCGUGCAGGAAGAAGGCCUUCGGGUUGUAAACUGCUUUUGUACGGAACGAAACGGUCUGUUUUAAUAAAGCGGGCUAAUGACGGUACCGUAAGAAUAAGCACCGGCUAACUACGUGCCAGCAGCCGCGGUAAUACGUAGGGUGCGAGCGUUAAUCGGAAUUACUGGGCGUAAAGCGUGCGCAGGCGGUGAUGUAAGACGGUUGUGAAAUCCCCGGGCUCAACCUGGGAAUUGCAUCUGUGACUGCAUCGCUAGAGUACGGUAGAGGGGGAUGGAAUUCCGCGUGUAGCAGUGAAAUGCGUAGAUAUGCGGAGGAACACCGAUGGCGAAGGCAAUCCCCUGGACCUGUACUGAC
rnacentral:rRNA from 1 species